rnacentral:rRNA from 1 species
AGAGUUUGAUCCUGGCUCAGAACGAACGCUGGCGGCAGGCCUAACACAUGCAAGUCGAGCGCUUUAACCACUUCGGUGGAGCGAGAGCGGCGGACGGGUGAGUAACGCGUGGGAAUAUGCCCUUCACUGCGGAAUAGCCUCGGGAAACUGAGAGUAAUACCGCAUACGCCCUUCGGGGGAAAGAUUUAUCGGUGAAGGAUUAGCCCGCGUUGGAUUAGGUAGUUGGUGGGGUAAAAGCCUACCAAGCCGACGAUCCAUAGCUGGUUUGAGAGGAUGAUCAGCCACACUGGGACUGAGACACGGCCCAGACUCCUACGGGAGGCAGCAGUGGGGAAUCUUAGACAAUGGGGGAAACCCUGAUCUAGCCAUGCCGCGUGAGUGACGAAGGCCUUAGGGUCGUAAAGCUCUUUCGCCAGGGAAGAUAAUGACUGUACCUGGUAAAGAAACCCCGGCUAACUCCGUGCCAGCAGCCGCGGUAAUACGGAGGGGGUUAGCGUUGUUCGGAAUUACUGGGCGUAAAGCGCGCGUAGGCGGACUAUUAAGUUAGUGGUGAAAUCCCAGGGCUCAACCCUGGAACUGCCUCUAAUACUGGUAGUCUUGAGUUCGAGAGAGGUGAGUGGAAUUCCGAGUGUAGAGGUGAAAUUCGUAGAUAUUCGGAGGAACACCAGUGGCGAAGGCGGCUCACUGGCUCGAUACUGA